rnacentral:tRNA from 2 species
GCUCCCAUCGUCUAGCCCGGUCCAGGACGCGUCCCUCUCACGGACGAAACGCCGGUUCAAAUCCGGCUGGGAGCA